rnacentral:rRNA from 1 species
UCCUAAUAAUGCAGUCGACGAACUCUGGUAUUGAUUGGUGCUUGCAUCAUGAUUUACAUUUGAGUGAGUGGCGAACUGGUGAGUAACACGUGGGAAACCUGCCCAGAAGCGGGGGAUAACACCUGGAAACAGAUGCUAAUACCGCAUAACAACUUGGACCGCAUGGUCCGAGUUUGAAAGAUGGCUUCGGCUAUCACUUUUGGAUGGUCCCGCGGCGUAUUAGCUAGAUGGUGGGGUAACGGCUCACCAUGGCAAUGAUACGUAGCCGACCUGAGAGGGUAAUCGGCCACAUUGGGACUGAGACACGGCCCAAACUCCUACGGGAGGCAGCAGUAGGGAAUCUUCCACAAUGGACGAAAGUCUGAUGGAGCAACGCCGCGGUGAGUGAAGAAGGGUUUCGGCUCGUAAAACUCUGUUGUUAAAGAAGAACAUAUCUGAGAGUAACUGUUCAGGUAUUGACGGUAUUUAACCAGAAAGCCACGGCUAACUACGUGCCAGCAGCCGCGGUAAUACGUAGGUGGCAAGCGUUGUCCGGAUUUAUUGGGCGUAAAGCGAGCGCAGGCGGUUUUUUAAGUCUGAUGUGAAAGCYUUCGGCUCAACCGAAGAAGUGCAUCGGAAACUGGGAAACUUGAGUGCAGAAGAGGACAGUGGAACUCCAUGUGUAGCGGUGAAAUGCGUAGAUAUAUGGAAGAACACCAGUGGCGAAGGCGGCUGUCUGGUCUGUAACUGACGCUGAGGCUCGAAAGUAUGGGUAGCAAACAGGAUUAGAUACCCUGGUAGUCCAUACCGUAAACGAUGAAUGCUAAGUGUUGGAGGGUUUCCGCCCUUCAGUGCUGCAGCUAACGCAUUAAGCAUUCCGCCUGGGGAGUACGGCCGCAAGGCUGAAACUCAAAGGAAUUGACGGGGGCCCGCACAAGCGGUGGAGCAUGUGGUUUAAUUCGAAGCUACGCGAAGAACCUUACCAGGUCUUGACAUACUAUGCAAAUCUAAGAGAUUAGACGUUCCCUUCGGGGACAUGGAUACAGGUGGUGCAUGGUUGUCGUCAGCUCGUGUCGUGAGAUGUUGGGUUAAGUCCCGCAACGAGCGCAACCCUUAUUAUCAGUUGCCAGCAUUAAGUUGGGCACUCUGGUGAGACUGCCGGUGACAAACCGGAGGAAGGUGGGGAUGACGUCAAAUCAUCAUGCCCCUUAUGACCUGGGCUACACACGUGCUACAAUGGAUGGUACAACGAGUUGCGAACUCGCGAGAGUAAGCUAAUCUCUUAAAGCCAUUCUCAGUUCGGAUUGUAGGCUGCAACUCGCCUACAUGAAGUCGGAAUCGCUAGUAAUCGCGGAUCAGCAUGCCGCGGUGAAUACGUUCCCGGGCCUUGUACACACCGCCCGUCACACCAUGAGAGUUUGUAACACCCAAAGUCGGUGGGGUAACCUUUUAGGAACCAGCCGCCUA